rnacentral:lncRNA from 1 species
AAUCAAUCAUAAUAGCAAUGACUCAAUGUUUUCCUUUGAGGAGCGUUGGAUUGGUCUAUUGCGAAGGAGAUCAUGCCUCCUUCGUGACUUCGCUAGGGUACCAGAACUAAACAGAGGAGAGGGAGCCUCGGCUGAAAAAAGGUAAGUAAAUUGCACUUGGGGGAACCUGUAAAGGAAUAGAGAAUGUGCUCAGCCACGGUAUUUCUGGACUGCAGGCUCCUCAAAGAAGAUCCCUCCAGGGUCUACCUGCCUGUUCCAAAGUUGAUUGUGAUCUGUGCUGGGCUUUGCAAGCUGCCCAACAACAAUCACAGUGUAAUCAGUUGGAAAGCAGUCUCCAUUUAGAAUGACAUAGAAUGUAAUUAUGAAAACAGCCAGUAGAGGGCAGUCACACAGCAUGCUCUACUGUUUUAAUUCUGAUAUCAGAAUUUAUAUUACCAGAGGGUUUCCUUAGUGUUAGGGUUAGUGAUGGGGUUAAGGUAGAGUUAUAUUUAGGGUAAGGGUAUGGUUGGGUUAGAGUUAGGGUAGGGUUAGCUAGUGUAGAGUGUUAGGUUAAGGUUUGGGUUAAUGCUGUUUUAGGGUUAGGGAUAGUAUAGGGUUAAAGGGACAUUAUAGUCACCAGAACAACUACAGUUUAUUGUAUUUGUUCUGGUGAGUAGAAUCAUUACCUUCAGGCUUUUUGCUGUAAACACUGUCUUUUCAGAGAAAAUGCAGUGUUUACAUUACAGCCUAGUGAUAACGCCACUGGCCACUCCUUAGAUAGCUGUUAGAGAUCCUUCCUGGGUCAUGGCUGCCUAAAAUGCAUCCAAACAUUCAGUAUCUUCUUCCUCUGCAUGCAGACACUGAACUUUCCUCAUAGAGAUUCAUUGAUUCAAUUCAUCUCUAUCAGGAGAUGCUGAUUGGCCAGGGCUGUGUUUGAAUUGUGCUGGCUCCUUGUCAGUCUCAGCCAAUCCAAUGGGGAAGCAUUGUGAUUGGAUCAGGCCACCACUUCUAAUGAUGUCAGACGAAGUUCACAGGCCGAGGCAGCGGCUUCAGACUUGAAUACAAGUAAGAUUUUACUAGAUCGUAGUUUUAACACUAUGGGGUCAGGAAUAUGUUUGUGUUCCUGACCCUAUAGUGCUCCUUUAAGGUUAGGAUAGGUAUUAGUGUAAGCAUGGGGUUAGAGUUGGUAUAGCAUUAGGUGAGGGUUGUUAAGGUGUUAACAUUAAUUGCUAAAAAUCAAUUUAGAUCCCAGAUGUAUGAGGCUAAGAAUAUGUUUGAAUUCUUAACACUAUUGUGUUUAUGUUUUGUAUAGUAUGACUAUAUUAGAAGCAAAGCAGCUUGCAUUAGAAUAAGACACCCAGACAGUCAUGUAGCUCACAGUUUCAAGUGUACUUUUGAUUUAAUAGUUAUAAUUUUUACCAUUUGGGAUAUCAAAUUUGAGUGCAGUUGCUUAUUAAAAACACACACACUUACAGACUGUAUUCAGACUGUUACUGUAAAGUUUGAUUUGUUAAUGGUACACUGUGAUUUGAGGCAUACAGGUGAGAGAUAGUUCUCAGAGUUCCCAUGGUUUCAGACGUAUUCUUAUGCUUCUAACGUACGCGUUUUUGUUUAAAUCAGAAUCUGAUUGCUUGCCCUUGUUACGGACCUAUUUUCUCUGAAUUCCAGAGCUUAACGGACUAUCUAGUCUUCUAUGACUACUUGCUUUUGUCCACACUAGCUGGUAGCAAAGUCCCAGUUGGUCAACAAUAGUCCAAUGGCUCAACUUGUGUAGAAGGUAGCUAAGGCAAAGAAUCCAAAGGUGAACUUAGUCCACAGUGUUAAUGUCACAGCGUUUUGGACAAGUCCUGUUGUGGUUCAUUCUGCUUUGUUCAAUCAUUUUUUUUCUUAUUGUUGCAUUUUCGGUCUGUCUGAUAUGUCUCCUUUCAGUUGGGCUGUCAAAAAGCCCUAAUAUCUUGGCUUACCCCCCCCCCCCCCUUAAGAAAUACAAAUUAUGGUACAGAAAUUUGAUUUCAAAAACUGUACAGCUGAGAUUUGCCCACCUUUAUCAAUUCAGCAGCAAAUGGUAACAGAAUAAACACACAGACGAAAUCCUUGCUUUAUGAGAUACAUCCCAAAUAAAGGGAAGAAAUAAUAAUAGAAAAUAAUCAGGUGUAGUUCAGAUCAGGGAGAUAACAUAUGAUAUAUAUCAAAUGCAAAUACAAAGAAACAAGUCCUGCGCUCAAACUCCCAUUACUCCUGGGCGACAGCAACGACCAUAGUACACAUCAGCCAAAAUACAUAUUGUAAAAACCAAAGAAAAUAGUUGGGCAUACCCUAAAAACCUCCAUUUGUUUAAAAAUACAUAGGGAUGUGGAAAGAGCGCAGGUAACUUUUUUCCCCUUUGGUUUUUAAUAUGUGUUUUGGCUGAUGUGUACUAUGGUCGUUGCUGCCACCCAGGAGUAAUUGGUGUUUGAGCGCAGGACUUGUUUCUUUGUAUUCACUUUUUGUAUCACACAGCUAGGUUACAUUGCUGCUGCCCAUUCCAAGUGUUCCCUAUUAAGGGUUAAUAAGCAUGUAGGGAUGUAUAUAAAAAAUACCCCUUUCUGUCUCUUUGGAGAUAUUUUUGCCAGAAGCUCAAGGAAGUAAGGUGAAUGGUAAGAGUUAUGACCCCACCUAAGAGAUAUAUCAAAUGCAGGUUAUAUCAGGAUGGACAAUAAAAAUAAUAAACAACUUUAUUUUUAACACUUAUGACAGUUAUUAGGAAGAAUGAUUGUAAAAACUAGAUACAGUGUAUGUUAGUACUGAUAACUAGCCAAAGUAUUAUAAAUUAGAUGUGGUUUCGACUAGAACUGACACUAUUACAAAGUAUUACAAAUCAUGUAUUAAACUGACACCUUAACACUUGGAGUCCAGAAUUUACGCACAGAUGUUAUAAAACUGAUGUAGGUUGCAUUAGGCUUGAUACCAUGCCAAAAUACAAUAUCAGCCCAGGUAAUAUAUUAGACCAGAAAAAAUGUAUUACAAAUUAGAUGUGGGUUAAAAAGUAAUAUAAAUCUGAUUAUAAAGGAUAUUGUGAUAAAAUAGCAGAUGUCACAAAGAUAAAGCACAGAAACAGUGAAAGCAUUUAUUUAAAAAAAAAAAAAAUAAAAAAUAAAAUUUGAUUUAGACCUGGGCCCAUGAUAAACCAUAGUACCAUAAAUCAAAUGCCUUUGCGUUAGGCUGGAUGCUAUGAUAAAGUGAUAUAAAUCAAACAAGUGAAGAUUAAAAUGGACAACGUGCCAUAAUAUCGUAUAUCAGAUACAGUGUAGUUUAGGAUGGCACAGAAAAAAAAAAAUUACAUAUGUAGUGUAGUCUACGAUUGAUACAACGGAAAAAUUAUAAAUUAGAUAUAGCUCUGCAGUGGGUAAGAUAGCUCAUUUGGUUAGUGUACUUGCUUUGGCACUUCCAAACAACAGGGUCAUAUUCAAAGUUGUAUAAAUAUACAUAAGUUAGGGGAUUUGCUUCUUAACACCUUAAUGGGUUGAAAAAUUACAGGUCCCUUAUGACAUUUCUUACCAAUUGUCUACACUGGACAAUGCUCACAAAACGAAUCAAUAACUAGAUAGAACUGGGUCCAUAAAAUAAAUGUACACUUACAUAUUUAUAAACUAGAUCAGGGGUGCACAAAAGGUAGGUCCCCAUAUGUUGUAGAACUAAAACUCCCAUGAUGCUUUGUGUGCCUUGAGAAUGACAAAGUAAAUGGAAGUUGUUGGUUUUAAUACAUCUGGGGGACCUACCCUUUGGGCACCCCUAUGCUAGAUAGAAGCUACACAUUUCUCAAAAUAUUCAGUUUCACAAAAUAUUCUAUUUUUAUACAUAUCCAUGUACUAAACAAGGAAGUAAAUUAAUGUUUCUUGAAAGUUACAAGGAAAUUACUGUUAAAUGUAAAUCAUUUUUUAGAGGUAAAAGUAAUUGUACUUAAACUAUGCAACAUAAUGUUUAAUAUAGUCUGUUUUUCACCCCCCUCUGUUUCUCUUUAUUGCUGACACUAUUCCCUUGUUAUAUUUUCCACUCCCUUCCCCCACAACCUAGUCAGUACAUUACAGGAUGAAUGGGCCUUGUCAGGAAACAAUUCCAGGAGGUUCUGGCUGAAGAGGCUGCAGCCUAAUAUCCCAGACCCGGCAUGCAUUACAAUUAACGCAUGUCACACAUUGCUCUCGUCAGGGACAGAGUGUGAUGCUCCUUAAUCUGCAUAAGAUGGAGACAGGACACAACCUAGUAACACAUGUGGAACAUCUAAAAUAGACUUUCAUUGAUAUGAAAGCAGGAAUUGUGGAUACAUUUUAAACUGAAGGCCAAAAUAGUCAAUGCUGUUAUUAAAAAAUAAUUAACAUUGGUUUGUAUGUUAUAUUCUUACAUCUAUUUUCUUCCUAAGCACUGUCUCACAAACCUGUAUACCCCCAUUCACAUGUGAACUGUGUGUUUCUGUAAUUACACACACUAUUUUUUUUUAUAUAGAGUCACUGUCAUUUUCUCUCCAUAAAUCAGUUUAAAACAAUA